CCCACUUUCACAGAUGAGGAUCCCAGAAAGAUCCAAAUACCUGCCUAAACCCCAGCAGUAAAGGUGGGACCAGCCUCCACAUUGCCUUUCUUGAAGGCAGCCAGGGCGGAGGGUCCUGCCAAGACCAGCCUCUGCUCAGAUGAAAGCCUAGCUGUUACCUGUCUUCCCUGAGCCCUGAAGGCUCUGAGGCUCCUGAUGCCCACCGGCCACUCUUUGAGGCUUGACCUGGAAUGCUUGCCUCUCAGUGAUCUGCCCAGCUGCCCCGUCAGCUUUCUUACCCAGCACAGAUGCUAUAUGGCUGCCACAGAGGGAACAGCUAACUGCGUGAUGACCAGGCUGCAGCCAUGACCUAAGAUGCUCCAUCCUGAGCAGCACUGAAUCUCGGGCUAGAACAAUUCCAAGAACUGGCCUCAAGAGAAUGAGACAAACACUAUUGCUCAUCAUCUAUAUCUUUAUGAGCAUCAAAAUAAUUGUAGAUGCUUGUUCUGCCUGUAUACGUAAAUGGGCAACUAAAACUGUCCCCAGAG
ensembl:lncRNA